AUUGAACGCUGGCGGCAGGCCUAACACAUGCAAGUCGAGCGGAUGAAGGGAGCUUGCUCCUGGAUUCAGCGGCGGACGGGUGAGUAAUGCCUAGGAAUCUGCCUGGUAGUGGGGGAUAACGUCCGGAAACGGGCGCUAAUACCGCAUACGUCCUGAGGGAGAAAGUGGGGGAUCUUCGGACCUCACGCUAUCAGAUGAGCCUAGGUCGGAUUAGCUAGUUGGUGGGGUAAAGGCCUACCAAGGCGACGAUCCGUAACUGGUCUGAGAGGAUGAUCAGUCACACUGGAACUGAGACACGGUCCAGACUCCUACGGGAGGCAGCAGUGGGGAAUAUUGGACAAUGGGCGAAAGCCUGAUCCAGCCAUGCCGCGUGUGUGAAGAAGGUCUUCGGAUUGUAAAGCACUUUAAGUUGGGAGGAAGGGCAGUGAGUUAAUACCUUGCUGUUUUGACGUUACCAACAGAAUAAGCAUCGGCUAACUUCGUG
rnacentral:rRNA from 1 species